rnacentral:rRNA from 1 species
UGCAAGUCGAACGGUAACGCGGGGCAACCUGGCGACGAGUGGCGAACGGGUGAGUAAUGUAUCGGAACGUGCCCAGUUGUGGGGGAUAACUGCUCGAAAGAGCAGCUAAUACCGCAUACGACCUGAGGGUGAAAGCGGGGGAUCGCAAGACCUCGCGCAGUUGGAGCGGCCGAUAUCAGAUUAGGUAGUUGGUGGGGUAAAGGCUCACCAAGCCAACGAUCUGUAGCUGGUCUGAGAGGACGACCAGCCACACUGGGACUGAGACACGGCCCAGACUCCUACGGGAGGCAGCAGUGGGGAAUUUUGGACAAUGGGGGCAACCCUGAUCCAGCCAUGCCGCGUGCGGGAAGAAGGCCUUCGGGUUGUAAACCGCUUUUGUCAGGGAAGAAAAGACUCCUGUUAAUACCGGGGGUUCAUGACGGUA